AUACGGAGGGUGCAAGCGUUAUUCGGAAUCACUGGGCGUAAAGGACGCGUAGGCGGGUUGGCAAGUCAGAUGUGAAAUCCUACAGCUUAACUGUAGAACUGCAUUCGAAACUGCUAACCUAGAGUAUGUGAGGGGGAGAUGGAAUUAGUGGUGUAGGGGUAAAAUCCGUAGAUAUCACUAGGAAUACCGAAAGCGAAGGCGAUCUCCUGGAACAUAACUGACGCUAAGGCGUGAAAGCGUGGGGAGCAAACAGGAUUAGAAACCCUAGUAGUCC
rnacentral:rRNA from 1 species